CAAUAGCGUAUAUUAAAGUUGUUGCAGUUAAAAGCUCGUAGUUGGACCUUGGACCUGGACAGGCGGUCCGCCUCACGGCGAGUACUGUCUUGCUGGGUCUUUCCUCUUGGUGAUCUGUUGUUUCGGCAGCAGGGAACCAGGACCUUUACUUUGAAAAAUUAGAGUGUUCAAAGCAGGCUCGACGCCGGAAUAUAUUAGCAUGGAAUAAUAAAAUAGGACGUGCGGUUCUAUUUUGUUUGGUUUUUGGUAAUCGCCGUAAUGAUUAAUAGGGACAGUCGGGGGCAUUAGUACUCACAUGCUAGAGGUGAAAUUCUUGGAUUUUGUGAAGACUAACUUCUGCGAAAGCAUUUGCCAAGGAUGUUUUCAUUAAUCAAGAACGAAGGUUAGGGUAUCGAAGACGAUUAGAUACCAU
rnacentral:rRNA from 1 species